UACGUAGGGUGCAAGCGUUGUCCGGAAUUAUUGGGCGUAAAGAGCUCGUAGGCGGUUUGUCGCGUCGAAUGUGAAAACCCGGGGCUCAACUCCGGGCCUGCAUUCGAUACGGGCAGACUAGAGUUCGGUAGGGGAGACUGGGAAUUCCUGGUGUAGCGGUGAAAUGCGGCAGAAUAUCAGGAGGAACACCGGUGGCGAAGGGCGGG
rnacentral:rRNA from 1 species